GUGCCAGCAGCCGCGGUAAUACGGAGGAUGCAAGCGUUAUCCGGAAUUAUUGGGCGUAAAGCGUCCGCAGGUGGCGAUUCAAGUCUGCUGUUAAAGGUCAGGGCUCAACCCUGAACAGGCAGUGGAAACUGAACAGCUAGAGUGCGGUAGGGGCAGAGGGAAUUCCCAGUGUAGCGGUGAAAUGCGUAGAGAUUGGGAAGAACACCGGUGGCGAAAGCGCUCUGCUAGGCCGCAACUGACACUCAGGGACGAAAGCUAGGGGAGCGAAUGGGAUUAGAUACCCCAGUAGUCC
rnacentral:rRNA from 1 species